rnacentral:rRNA from 1 species
AGAGUUUGAUCCUGGCUCAGGAUGAACGCUGGCGGCGUGCCUAACACAUGCAAGUCGAGCGGUAUAUACUUAAGCAAAUCUUCGGAAGAGCGAGAGUAUAGAGAGCGGCGGACGGGUGAGUAACGCGUAGGCAACCUGCCCCAUACAGAGGGAUAGCCUCGGGAAACCGGGAUUAAAACCUCAUAACGCGAGAAGUUCACAUGGACUUUUCGCCAAAGAUUUAUCGGUAUGGGAUGGGCCUGCGUCUGAUUAGCUAGUUGGUGGGGUAACGGCCUACCAAGGCAACGAUCAGUAGCCGACCUGAGAGGGUAAUCGGCCACAUUGGAACUGAGACACGGUCCAAACUCCUACGGGAGGCAGCAGUGGGGAAUAUUGCACAAUGGGCGAAAGCCUGAUGCAGCAACGCCGCGUGAGCGAUGAAGGCCUUUGGGUCGUAAAGCUCUGUCCUUGGGGAAGAAAAAAAUGACGGUACCCUUGGAGGAAGCCCCGGCUAACUACGUGCCAGCAGCCGCGGUAAUACGUAGGGGGCAAGCGUUAUCCGGAAUUAUUGGGCGUAAAGAGUGCGUAGGUGGUUUUGUAAGCGCGGGGUGAAAGGCAAUGGCUCAACUAUUGUAAGCCCUGCGAACUGUGAGACUUGAGUGCAGGAGAGGAAAGCGGAAUUCCUAGUGUAGCGGUGAAAUGCGUAGAUAUUAGGAGGAACACCAGUGGCGAAGGCGGCUUUCUGGACUGUAACUGACACUGAGGCACGAAAGCGUGGGGAGCAAACAGGAUUAGAUACCCUGGUAGUCCACGCCGUAAACGAUGAGCACUAGGUGUCGGGGCCGCAAGGCUUCGGUGCCGCAGUUAACGCAUUAAGUGCUCCGCCUGGGGGAGUACGCACGCAAGUGUGAAACUCAAAAUGACUGACGG